UACAGAGGUCUCAAGCGUUGUUCGGAUUCAUUGGGCGUAAAGGGUGCGUAGGCGGCGCGGUAAGUCGGAUGUGAAAUCUCGGAGCUUAACUCCGAAAACUGCAUUUGAUACUGUGGUGCUUGAGGACUGGAGAGGAGACUGGAAUUCACGGUGUAGCAGUGAAAUGCGUAGAGAUCGUGAGGAAGACCAGUGGCGAAGGCGGGUCUCUGGACAGUUCCUGACGCUGAGGCGCGAAGGCCAGGGGAGCAAACGGG
rnacentral:rRNA from 1 species